rnacentral:rRNA from 1 species
CAAUAGCGUAUAUUAAAGUUGUUGCGGUUAAAAAGCUCGUAGUUGGAACUCUGUGAAGGCGAAGCGGUCUUCCCAACGGGAAGUGCGUUUGGCUUUCGCAAUUGACCCAGAGUCGUCAGACGCUCGGUCCCUUUACCUUGAGGAAAUCAGAGUGUUCACAGCAGGCACGCGCCUUGGAUGUUGUAGCAUGGGAUAUUAAGACAAAGUCCAGCUGCUCUUGCUGGUUCAAGCUGCUGGAUUCAAGAUCAAUAGAAACAGUCGGGGGGCAUUCGUAUUUGAGCGUCAGAGGUGAAAUUCUUGGAUUGCACAAAGACGAACUACUGCGAAAGCAUUUGCCAAGGAUGCUUCCGUUGA